ACGGCGAGUGAAGCGGCAACAGCUCAAAUUUGAAAUCUGGCCCCUAGGGUCCGAGUUGUAAUUUGUAGAGGAUGCUUUUGGUGAGGUGCCGCCCGAGUUCCCUGGAACGGGACGCCGCAGAGGGUGAGAGCCCCGUCUGGCUGGCCACCGAGCCUCUGUAAAGCUCCUUCGACGAGUCGAGUAGUUUGGGAAUGCUGCUCAAAAUGGGAGGUAUAUGUCUUCUAAAGCUAAAUAUUGGCCAGAGACCGAUAGCGCACAAGUAGAGUGAUCGAAAGAUGAAAAGCACCUUGAAAAGAGGGUUAAACAGUACGUGAAAUUGUUGAAAGGGAAGCGCUUGUGACCAGACUUGGGCGCGGCGGAUCAUCCGGGGUUCUCCCCGGUGCACUUCGCCGCGUUCAGGCCAGCAUCAGUUCGUCGCGGGGGAAAAAGGCUUCGGGAACGUGGCUCCUCCGGGAGUGUUAUAGCCCGUUGCAUAAUACCCUGCG
rnacentral:rRNA from 1 species